AUUUCACUUUCUCAGCCACUGCGAAACCAGUUCACUAGGGACUUCUCUUGGAACCAUUGCCCCUAUACUCACCCGCCCUUGUCAUUCUGGUCUCUUUGAUCCUUUUGCCUUUGUGACUGUCUAGGAGGAAAGAAGGGGAAAUCAUUCUCACUUGGGCUGCCCUGAGUCUAUGAUGUCUAUGCUGGCUAUAGCUUCCCUUCAUGCAGACUUCAUGCUUCCCUGUUAAUCAUCUCUCACUCUCUUUCUGUCUUAAGAAAUCAAAGAAGAUCAAGGUCCUUUCCUUGGCAACGUUUUAAACAUACACGGCAAUGAAUAGCUGAACAAAUUUUAAUGGUGUUUCCAUAAAGGCUUGGAAUAUCUACCUUAAGGACGAUGGCCUGGAAGAAGACUAUGACGUGUUUAAAAUUAUACUGAGUGCACCUAAAAAUGCUGUUUUAGGACAGAAGAAUGAACUGACUGUCAGAAUUAUAGACUCAAUGGCAGGUGGCUGUGACUCAUCAGGCUUCAGUGACACUUUGGAAAUGUUGGAAAGAAGAAGUAAAGUUUCAGAAAGUGCACCGCAUCCUGGAUGUUUGCUGUUUAACAGUGGGAGAUGGAAGCUCCAUCAGGACAAAAAUGUGGCUGUUGAGAGGCAUCAGCAUCUUGAUCCUUCUUCUAGGGCAGAUGUCCCUCAGACAGGUCACCUACCUCACCAUCCAGACAUGGAUUUUCAAGAUGUUGCUAACAGGAGGCUUGCCAGAAAAUGGAGAAAAGCUGCAGAUAGCCCAAGGAUGUAA
rnacentral:lncRNA from 1 species